rnacentral:misc_RNA from 1 species
CCGAGUUAGGGUGCCUCAAAGCGCCCGACCUCCAACCCUUUGUCUACCUGACCUAUUGUUGCUUCGGCAGACCCGCCGCCCCCUUUCCCUUCAUAGGGGAGGGGAUGGCCACCGGGGGCCCUUACCGGCCCCGGGUCCGCGUCUGCCGAUGGCCCUUAUUAAAACUCUUGUCAUUAACCGUGUCGUCUGAGUAAAACAAAACAAAUAAAAAA